CUGGAUAUAUGCCUUAUAAGGCUGACACAUAUAUUAGUUGUAACCUCUGAUAGAGUUUUGAUGUAGUGCCUUUGCUUGUUGGCAAACCAAAUAUUCUUUCAGCUAUUGCAAACCAAACAUUCUUUCAGCUAAUGUAGAUAUAUAUCAUUUCCAUUUCCUCCCCACCAAAACUUUUGUUUGAGAUCUUGAUAUAAUAUAGUGCUUCUUUGGUG
rnacentral:lncRNA from 1 species